rnacentral:rRNA from 1 species
GAUGAACGCUAGCGGCAGGCUUAAUACAUGCAAGUCGAGGGGCAGCACAGUGUAGCAAUACAUGGGUGGCGACCGGCAAACGGGUGCGGAACACGUACAGAACCUUCCUUCGAGCGGGGGAUAGCCCGGCGAAAGCCGGAUUAAUACCCCAUAGUAAGCUGGAGAGGCAUCUCUUUGGUUUUAAAGAUUUAUCACUUGAA